GUGGGGUAAAGGCCUACCAAGACUAUGAUGUGUAGCCGGGCUGAGAGGUUGAACGGCCACAUUGGGACUGAGACACGGCCCAAACUCCUACGGGAGGCAGCAGUAGGGAAUUUUCGGCAAUGGAGGAAACUCUGACCGAGCAACGCCGCGUGAACGAUGAAGUAUUUCGGUACGUAAAGUUCUUUUAUUAGGGAAGAAUAAAUGAUGGAAAAAUCAUUCUGACGGUACCUAAUGAAUAAGCCCCGGCUAACUAUGUGCCAGCAGCCGCGGUAAUACAUAGGGGGCAAGCGUUAUCCGGAAUUAUUGGGCGUAAAGGGUGCGUAGGCGGUUAAAUAAGUUUAUGGUCUAAGUGCAAUGCUCAACAUUGUGAUGCUAUAAAAACUGUUUAGCUAGAGUAAGAUAGAGGCAAGUGGAAUUCCAUGUGUAGUGGUAAAAUGCGUAAAUAUAUGGAGGAACACCAGUAGCGAAGGCGGCUUGCUGGGUCUUUACUGACGCUGAGGCACGAAAGCGUGGGGAGCAAACAGGAUUAGAUACCCUGGUAGUCCACGCCGUAAACGAUGAGUACUAAACGUUGGGUAAAACCAGUGUUGAAGUUAACACAUUAAGUACUCCGCCUGAGUAGUACGUACGCAAGUAUGAAACUUAAAGGAAUUGACGGGACUCCGCACAAGCGGUGGAUCAUGUUGUUUAAUUCGAAGGUACCCGAAAAACCUCACCAGGUCUUGACAUGCUUCUGCAAAGCUGUAGAAACACAGUGGAGGUUAUCAGUUGCACAGGUGGUGCAUGGUUGUCGUCAGCUCGUGUCGUGAGAUGUUGGGUUAAGUCCCGCAACGAGCGCAACCCUUAUUGUUAGUUACCAGCACGUAAUGGUGGGGACUUUAGCAAGACUGCCAGUGAUAAAUUGGAGGAAGGUGGGGACGACGUCAAAUCAUCAUGCCCCUUAUGACCUGGGCUACAAACGUGAUACAAUGGCUGUUACAAAGGGUAGCUGA
rnacentral:rRNA from 1 species